ensembl:lncRNA LINC01206 long intergenic non-protein coding RNA 1206
ACCUUGACAGUUGUAACCGAUAGACUGGGCUGGGGCAACGCUGAUGAAAGGCAAAUUCCUGAGAGAAAAAUCACCCAGAUUUUUCAGUGCCUUCUCUAGCUUUCUAGAAGUUGUUAUGAGUGGACCUGACUACCUAGAGAGAGUAAUACAGAAGCUCCGUGCCGAUCACAGCUACCUCAUUACCAUGUUCCUCCAAGAUGGCCGCCCCUGAGGAGAAUCAUCAACUGGGCUUUACGGAAGAGAGAAAUCCAAACGACCAUCAGCAACAAAUGAAAGACUGAAGUUGAAAGGCAAGUCUUCAGAUUUGAAGUAAGAGCUUGAGAAGAAAAAUGAAAAAAGAAUCCUGGAGAUGACCAGCAUUUAGUGGGGUGAGGAAGAAGAGAAAAGCAGCAAGUAAAGAAUAAAAGGAAAUCCAUAAUUUUUGAAUGCUGGCCGAGGUCUGUGACCUCUGACUGAAUGGUUUCCAAGCUCCGAAUUCCUAGGUGAUGUUUUCAUUUGUUCACACUUGCUGAAGAAGGGAAAGGCUCUCUGAUUUACGUGUAAGCAAAACAAUCUAAACAGUAGGAUAAAAUCAUGUUGGAAUGGAGUUCUGUGUGGAUGCUCCUUUGA